rnacentral:rRNA from 1 species
GAUGAACGCUGGCGGUAUGCUUAACACAUGCAAGUCGAACGGUACCUUCGGGCUUAGUGGCGGACGGGUGAGUAACGCGUGAGAAUCUAUCUUCAGGUCGGGUACAACAGUUAGAAGUGAAUGCUAAGACCGGAGGUGCUGAUAGGUAAAAGAUGUAUCGGCUGCAAAGGAGGUCGCGUCAGGUUUGCUAGUAGGUGGUGGAAGAGACUACCUAUGCUUUGAUCUGUAGCUGGUCGGAGAGGACGAGCAGUCACACUGGAACUGAGACACGGUCCAGACUCCUACGGGAGGCUGCAGUGGGGAAUAUUCCGGAAUGGGCGAAAGCCUGACGGAGCAAUACCGGGUGAGGGGCGAAGGCUCUUGGGUCGUAAACCUCUUUUCGCAAGGAAGAUUCAGACGGUACUUGAGGAAGAAGCAUCGGCUAACUCUGUG